rnacentral:piRNA from 1 species
UNGGUUGCUAAGCUAUCCUGUGCCUGU